AGCGAACGCUGGCGGCAGGCUUAACACAUGCAAGUCGAACGAACCUUUCGGGGUUAGUGGCGGACGGGUGAGUAACACGUGGGAACGUGCCUUUAGGUUCGGAAUAACUCAGGGAAACUUGUGCUAAUACCGAAUGUGCCCUUCGGGGGAAAGAUUUAUCGCCUUUAGAGCGGCCCGCGUCUGAUUAGCUAGUUGGUUGAGGUAAUGGCUCACCAAGGCGACGAUCAGUAGCUGGUCUGAGAGGAUGAUCAGUCACAUUGGGACUGAGACACGGCCCAAACUCCUACGGGAGGCAGCAGUGGGGAAUCUUGCGCAAUGGGCGAAAGCCUGACGCAGCCAUGCCGCGUGAAUGAUGAAGGUCUUAGGAUUGUAAAAUUCUUUCACCGGGGACGAUAAUGGCGGUACCCGGAGAAGAAGCCCCGGCUAACUUCGUG
rnacentral:rRNA from 1 species